UACGAAGGGGGCUAGCGUUGCUCGGAAUCACUGGGCGUAAAGCGCACGUAGGCGGCUUCUUAAGUCAGGGGUGAAAUCCUGGAGCUCAACUCCAGAACUGCCUUUGAUACUGAGGAGCUUGAGUCCGGGAGAGGUGAGUGGAACUGCGAGUGUAGAGGUGAAAUUCGUAGAUAUUCGCAAGAACACCGGUGGCGAAGGCGACUCGCUGGACAGGUAUUGACGCUGAGGUGCGAAAGCGUGGGGAGCAAACAGG
rnacentral:rRNA from 1 species